rnacentral:tRNA from 1 species
GCCCCCGUAGCUCAGCAGGAUAGAGCAACGGAUUCCUAAUCCGUGUGUCGGACGUUCGAAUCGUCUCGGGGGCGCCA